rnacentral:rRNA from 1 species
AGGACUCUACUCCAAACCCAUUGUGACCUUACCUAUGUUCUGUUGCCUCGGCGGCGUGGUCAGCGCCCCCUCUGAAAAGAGGACGAUGCCCUCCCGCCGGCAGCACCAAACUCUUGAAUUUUACAGCGGAUUACAGUUCUGAUUUGAAAAGAAAAAACAAGUUAAAACUUUCAACAACGGAUCUCUUGGUUCUGGCAUCGAUGAAGAACGCAGCGAAAUGCGAUAAGUAAUGUGAAUUGCAGAAUUCAGUGAAUCAUCGAAUCUUUGAACGCACAUUGCGCCCGGCAGUAAUCUGCCGGGCAUGCCUGUCCGAGCGUCAUUUCAACCCUCGAACCUCCGUUUCCUCAGGGAAGCUCAGGGUCGGUGUUGGGGCGCUACGGCGAGUCUUCGCGACCCUCCGUAGGCCCUGAAAUACAGUGGCGGUCCCGCCGCGGUUGCCUUCUGCGUAGUAAGUCUCUUUUGCAAGCUCGCAUUGGGUCCCGGCGGAGGCCUGCCGUCAAACCACCUAUAACUCCAGAUGGUUUGACCUCGGAUCAGGUAGGGUUACCCGCUGAACUUAAGCAUAUCAAUAGGCCGGAGGAA